AAAGCUUUAAGUUAUCCAAACUUAUAGCCUUCAAAGCUAUCAAAAGGAGUAAAAAUCUCCUAAGCUUUA
rnacentral:tRNA from 1 species